GCAGUCGACGGCAGCAUGAUCUAGCUUGCUAGAUUGAUGGCGAGUGGCGAACGGGUGAGUAAUACAUCGGAACGUGCCCUGUAGUGGGGGAUAACUAGUCGAAAGAUUAGCUAAUACCGCAUACGACCUGAGGGUGAAAGUGGGGGACCGCAAGGCCUCAUGCUAUAGGAGCGGCCGAUGUCUGAUUAGCUAGUUGGUGAGGUAAAGGCUCACCAAGGCGACGAUCAGUAGCUGGUCUGAGAGGACGAUCAGCCACACUGGGACUGAGACACGGCCCAGACUCCUACGGGAGGCAGCAGUGGGGAAUUUUGGACAAUGGGGGCAACCCUGAUCCAGCAAUGCCGCGUGUGUGAAGAAGGCCUUCGGGUUGUAAAGCACUUUUGUCCGGAAAGAAAUCGCACUUACUAAUAUUAGGUGUGGAUGACGGUACCGGAAGAAUAAGGACCGGCUAACUACGUGCCAGCAGCCGCGGUAAUACGUAGGGUCCAAGCGUUAAUCGGAAUUACUGGGCGUAAAGCGUGCGCAGGCGGUUGUGCAAGACCGAUGUGAAAUCCCCGGGCUUAACCUGGGAAUUGCAUUGGUGACUGCACGGCUAGAGUGUGUCAGAGGGGGGUAGAAU
rnacentral:rRNA from 1 species